CCUGACCCCAUGCCGAACUCAGAAGUGAAACGCCGUAGCGCCGAUGGUAGUGUGGGGUCUCCCCAUGUGAGAGUAGGGAACUGCCAGGC
rnacentral:rRNA from 28 species